UAUUUUUUAAAAUAUUUAAAUAUAAACAUUCGAAAAUGGCUUCUGCUUCCAGCACCAGCGCGAGGAGUUUGUUUGUGGACUCAAAAUUACGACUAGCUGAUAGAGUUCAAGUAAAUGUUAAUAACAUUGCUUCAGUUGCUCGUCAAAUACAGCGAGGUUCCAAGUCAAAUGAAAUUUUAAUGCACCCUAUCAGGAACUUCGCGCUUCAAGAAUAUGCGAUUAACAAUUCCGAAUCUAACCUGAAGAAGUUACAGCUGAUAGCCGCGCACCUGGGCUACCAACACGAGAGCCUGCUGAAGAGCUCGCUGCUGGUGGAGGAGGUGAAGGAGCAAGUGCGGGCCAUGCAGCGCUGAGCCGUGCCAGCGUCGCUCGGCUCGGCUCGGCUCGGCUUCCGGGCAGACUGUGAUCACGCACGUGUUCCUCCAGACCUUUCAUUGGGCCCAUGCAGCCUGGAUGCAUGCCAGGAUUGGUGACUUUAUUCACAAUGCUAUUGACUUGGAGCAGAGGGAACUGUGCCAACGCCCACUAGACUAGACUGUGUGCACCCCUGAGACUUGCAGUAGGCCGCCCCUCCCCCACCGGGUUGCUGCCCGUUACAAGAGCUCGGAAAACUUGCACAGAGGCUUUUGUGUUUUGUAUCAGGAUUUUUUCUUCUUUCUUUUUUUCAGGCCGUGUGGCUUUGUAAAGCCAUCCAGAGAAAACCCAGACAUCGCUGCAGUCAUCAAGAUGUUGAUGGCCUCACACCGCUGCCAGCAGUACCUGCUGUCAGUGUAGAAGACGGAAUUGCUGCAAUAAAGACAUUGUAAUGUUGCAAGACCCUGCCCGCCUCAGUUUUUACAAUAAAUUUGGAAAAAAUAGAUAUAAUGUUUUUUCAGUAAUGCAAUAAAUAUAUCAGCUGAUUAUUAUAGCUUUCAAGGUCGCCAUGACCUAGUUUUUGAUACUUGUAUUAUUAUUAAUUGGUAUAUUAUUGUAGUUAAUUUUAAUUUUUAAGUAUUUUAUUUUGAAAAGCCGAUUAACUAUAAUUUUAUUAAUUUUCGCUCUGCUGGCUAGGUUAUAGUUAAUGUAAGUGUACAUUUCAGUAUUUUAUUGCAUUUAAAUGUGUUUUCAAUAAUAAUAAUAAAAAUAAUUUUAUGUAUGUGGUUUAUAGUAGUUUUAAAACAGUGAGGAAUUGUGUGAAGAGAAAGAAACAAAUUACUUCAUUAUACGUAAUUGUAAGAGUAAAUGUAACUAAUCAUAAGGCAGUAUUUCGGGGGAUGUCCCCAACUAACUGAAAUUUUCUAAGUGUUUUGUGAUGUGCUGUGUUUCGUCAGUUGUUCAAGUACGGUGCCGAGAGGUGGUGCGGGGCGGUGGCUCACCAGUAUAAUAGGGUGAGUUGUUAAGGACCAACAACUUCACGUCUGGGUGCUGGGGCCGAGCCGCAGUGUAAUAUCCACCUUGUUUUUUUUUUCCCAUCAAGUUGCGGACUUUCAACUAGAAUUUGUAGGCCCCAGAUGUGUGGCAUAGGCCUGGGUGGUCCGCUGGCCCACCGGGAAUGAUUUUCCCGCACAUAUGUGUACUUAGACGAUGGAGUUAAAAGCCAUUUAACAGUUACAAACAGAAUUUUACACCCCAUUUAAUGCAUCAGUAGGUAGUAGCCAGUCUUAGCCAGGCAGGAUUGUGAUUCUUUACAAUUAGCGCCCAACGUGGGGUUCCAAAUAUCACACCCCAGACCACCUCGGCUGGCUCAAAAUUCAGUCUGAAGUGGACAUACAUAAAACACUUGCAAAAAAAAUUAUUUGGGCACUGAAAAUUAUGUAAGUUUCAGACACUUAUCACUGUCGUUGAUUUGCUACUUAAAUAAUGUCUCUCAGACACCAAACUGAUAUUAAUGUAUUUUUUUUAUUAAGACUUGAAGAACAAUUUGCAGUGCAACCACAAAAGCUACUACAUUUAGAACAUACAACUUUUGCACAUAACCUCAUUCCAGACUUCCACACAACACAGGCAUUGACUGUUUGCAAUUACCGAUGAAUUAUUAUUACUUGAAAAGACAGUUCGCUUUAACGUCCCAUGGUUACUCACGAACUCACGGUACAGACCAAUGACUGUCCUUGGAAUUAUGACAAAAUGAAUUUAAAGUCGUGUUGCGGACUUCACCAAUGACUGUGGUCAGAAAAUUCUAGUUGCAAAGUUCAAAUGAUAAAAAAAAAAUGUUUAUCUUACACAGUGGCACCCAGACCACAGCCACAAAUUGUUUUCUAAACUCACAUCAUCUUAUACUUUUUGAGCCACUGCCCAACACGCUGCGUAUCAUUACCUCGUUCAGACAAUGACUAAAUUAGUUAGCACACAACUUCAUAUCACUCCACGGCAGAAACGCAGGUACGGGCUCUCUGCCCAAUCACAACACAGCACUUAAAAAACCAUAGCAGGAUACAAUUUCUGACCCCUCGUAGUGUGACUUUUUUUUUUUGACAAAGAUUACAUUCAGAAAAAUCACUUGAAUUGGUAGCAUUAUUUUUCACCAAUCACAAAAUUACAAUUAUAAACUACCAGCCAGUCAUGAUGCAUGGCCACAGUGGCGUGAUGAACACUAGCGUCUCUGCCCACGGUUGCUGAACUUUCCGUCUCUCUGUCAUUCGUUCAAACUAUUGCAUCAAUUUUCAAACAAAGAAUCAUGACAUAAACCAAAUUACAUAAGAAAACUAUGUACCGUUUUUGUUUAUGAACCAAGAUACACAAGCAUUACUUAAAAAAUUACCUAAAAAGGUAUACUAAUAAACCAACGCAUAUAAAUAAGAUCUAGGGGCUUAUUUACCACAAAGUCAGCAAAACAUUAAAACCAACAGCAAAGCAUGAAAUAUAAAUUAAAAUCAUAAAACAACCUGUGAACACACAAAUGCUUCUUAGGAAAAAUAACAAGCUGUUAUUUACAUUAUAACAAAGAAAACUAACGUUAAAAUAUACUUUAAGAUAAUAUAAUAAAUUGUAAAUUAAACUAUUUUAUCAAGUGGGAAGGGCAGUAACCAGGGUUGUUACAACAUACGCCCAGCAGAAAAGAAUAGUUGAGCAAAUGCAGACGCUGUUUUAUUAAACCUAUUGAUAGAGUCUGGAUAUAACUGAUUAUGCCAGAGAAGUUAACCAUCUUCGUCUUAUGUAGGAGGACAAAUGAUACACUAGUGUCUUUUCACUCUAAAAUUCUUGGAAUCAUCGGACUUCACACUAAUAAAUGGUGUAUUUUUAUGAACUCCUGAACACGUUCAAUUUGGAAUACCAUGUAGUCCUUGGGCAAGUUAAGCGAAACAAUGGUGGAAUGACAAAUACGCAAAAUAAUUCUAUGUUGUAUGGGUCCAUUACUGUGGCAAGCAAGCCAUAUUGUGAAUAUGAUUUUCGAUGUAUUUGCAAGGCAAAAUUAUCUUGUUGAUGAAGUGGGUGAGACUUGGGAACGUGCGAAUGAAGAAUAUGCAGACGAAUUUGAACUGCUGGCAGCACCCAAUGAACAAGAAGUUGCGGGCUCACCUGCACAUCCACACACUGACGAGCUAGCUGUCAAACUUUGCAAAGUAUGUCUCUCGGAGAGAAUCUCGCAUAUAGUUUACUCUUGCUGACAUUAUGUUUUGUGUAAUGAUUGUGCAGGUGUUCUUUUGCAAUAAGAUGCAGAAACUGGCGUAAUGAGGGGUCGCUUGUGCAGAAAUGUUUCAAGUAGCGUAACAUGUGUGUAUUUUCAAUAAGUUCAUGCUAUAUUUGUUUUAGUUUUUGUGAAAUGUUUUGUUUUUAACGUCCCAAUUGUAAUUUAAAUGUAAAUUUAAUUUUAUGAAAUUUGUGUUCUCCCAUUUGGGUCAAUUAUUGGAGAGAGAGGUAUUUAUUUUUUUUUCCUCAAGGUAAUCAGUUUUGUUAGAUGUUUGUGUAUUUAUUGCUCUUGUUUCUUUUCCAGGGAAUUUUUUUGACACCAAUGCCAAAAAAUAAGUUUUGUGUAACUACCUCUUGCAUGUAAUUUGGUAACUUUAUUUUACAUAAUAUUAAUAUUUUGAUUCUCUUUAUGGUAUGUAUAGUUUAUGUUAAUUUCAAAGCUAUUUCUGCUAAAUAUAUUUUAUUUUCUGGUGUAAAAUUUAAUUUCAAGUUGCAUAACACAUGGUAUUUUCAAUAAUUACAUGCUACCUAUAUGUAUUUGUUAUAGUUUUUGUGAAAUGUUUUAUUUUUAAAGUCUCAAUUGUAAUUUAAACAUAAAUUUUAUUUGAUGUAAUUUGUGUUCUUCCAUUUUAAGUCAGUUAUUUGAGUCUUUCUUUUUACAUCAAAGUAAUCCGUUCAUACAGGUGUUUAUGUAUUAACAUGUGCCGUAUGCUAUGGUUUUAUGCAUAUGCUUCACCAAUUUCUGUCCCAUGUACAGCCAUCUAACAUUAUAAUUUUAUUAUUUAAAUGAUGCAUGGUAAAUAUGCGCUAAACAAACUGGAAAAGUAAAACAGAGAAUAUAUUUUUGUUGUUACAAGAUGAUGAAAAUUAUGUACUAAAUAUGUGUAUUAAAAUAAUGAUAGCAAAAAAACUGACAAAUUUUUUUUGUGUUGUAAUUUUGAUGUCAUUUUAAAUACAUUGUUUAAAACAUAAAGUA